rnacentral:misc_RNA from 1 species
UUUAUUAUCAAUUGACUUUAUCUUUUUUAUUAUUUAAUGAUAAAAUAAAUUGACUUUAUCUUUUUUGUUCCAUCUCUUUAUCUUUUUUUAUUAUCAAUUGACUUUAUCUUUUUUAUUAUUUAAUGAUAAAAUAAAUUGACUUUAUCUUUUUUGUUCCAUCUCUUUAUCUUUUCGUUUCCAUCUCUUCUAUUUUUAUUGCAUAUAUUGAUAAAAAUAUUUUUGAUAAUAUUAAUAAAUAGGAAGUCAUCAAGAAUAAUUGUAAAUUUAAGAUUAUUGCAAGAUUUUAUUGUUUUAUGAUUAUUUUCAUUUAAUUUUUACUCUAUUCUUGUUAGAUAUAGAAAAUUUGCAUGUAUUAUUUUUUUUCUCUCAUUAAAUAGUUUAUUAUUCUAUACAAUAUUUUUUAUUUGAGUUGAGUAAAAUAAAAUUUUUGACUCCGCUGACACAACUUUCUGGCUCCGCCCCUUAUAGAAUGCCUUUAGAUAGUGGUUUGGUGCAAGCAGAAGCAUGGGUUGGCAUGUUCUAAUUUCUGUACUUAGAAAAUUCUGAGAAUGCUAGGGUAGGACCCUUUCUUUGGACAGAUAAAGUUCAUCAUUUAAAAACUCUGCAGUUUUGUGCCAAGGCAAAAUACCCUGGAAUGGCAGAAAUGAUAUUGGUUUUUUAUGAGUAGGCAAAAUGAGGUGAUUCAUCUAAAAAUUCAGUAAUUUGAAUGGAAGUCCAUUCACAUGCAAAAAUUGUGGGCUGUUACAAUAUAUAGUUAAUGUAAAGUUCACUACCAAGCCCGUUCAUUGGUCUAAGGCCCUGCCUGACCUCUUCUUUCACACAAGAGAGAAGAAAUCAGAAUUUCUUUUUUACCUGUCCAAUUAUUAGACUGGAAACUGAAAAUGACCAUCUAAUAGCAUUCUGUUGUUAAAUUAUCUAUACUUGUUCGUGUUGUAAUGUGUCUUGCGUCUGUUUCUAUGUGCUUGCACAUGUGCAUUAUGAAUUUUUGAAUUUGAUAUUGUAUCCAAGCAGAUAUUGUUGUUCAAUUGUAUGGCAGUGCGGGAUCCUCAGCUGCUUCUUCCACGUCUGAUGAAAACAUGUGCUAGUCAUGGUAACUACUUGAGCAAGAAGCAUCUUCAGAUGAAAUUUGUUAAACUUUCUUAGGAAAAGGCCAGUGAGUGAAAUAUUAUGGCUGAGAAUUGAAGUUCUCUAAUUUCUUAAAUCUUUAGUCUUUAGUCCCUCUGCUGAUGCAAACUAGGUUGAUGGGAUUUAUCUAGAGCUUGUGCUUCAUAAACAUGGAAUUGAUGAUUUGAUGUUUUAGGUGUCUACUUCAAGAAGGCGUUAUUUGUGCCCAAUGUAUCAGUGUAUUACAAGGUUGGAUCUCAUGCGUUGCCCCCAACAGAUCCUCACGUUGAUUUGUUGUGGCAAUUCGCUCUGCAAAGAUUAUGGGAAAACCUUGUUCAGGGUGAUAAAGGUACCGAUUAAAUACACAACAAAUUUUAGUAUUAGUUGUAAUAUAAAAUAAUAAACACAUGGUACCUUGUUUAAUUGAACUCACUUAUUUACCACAGUGGUUUUAUUUCCUUUCCCAAAAUUUUUUUUGCUGUAAUUUCUUUUCCCCUAGAAUCGAGUACCAUACAAUUAGAUAUUUAAAAAACGGCAGCAUAAUACGAGCAAGUCAACCUUUUUUUUUUCUUUAUUUUCUCCGUCGUACAAUGUACAUGCAAUUAAGGAUAAUAGAAACCAUGAGUGCAUUUAAGGAAGCUCUUUGCUGAGUUUGGUUUGUAAAUAAAAUAUUUUUUGGACUUCUUAGGAA